rnacentral:lncRNA from 1 species
GUGGUAUUCAAUUUUAUCAACAGGAAUUCAUUUUAAAAAGGGUUUCAUAAAGGCUGAAGUAUUUCUGUCAAAACUAAGAAGAAGGUGGAUAAGUGCAAUGAAGAGAGAUGGGCCAUGAAGGGAGAUUACACCAGCUUUUAGUUUGGUUGCCAAGUUGUCAAUAAAGUCAACAUUGUGAAGAAAUGAAGUUUAAAGUCUGUACAAUGAAGACAAAAUUUCUUGAGAAAUGACAUGUACUACGGUAUUGGAAACUUUAUCUUCCUGUCAAAGCUGAUGCAGUAAAGUCAACUGAACAAGAUAAUAACAUAUCUCUUGUAAAGGUGGAAGCUGCAGAGCUCCCCUUGUUGCUUGUAAUGCAAAGUGAAAUCUGACUGUCUUUUUCAAAGCAGCUAAUCCAAACCAUCUCAAGUGACACAGACCAGAGGGGAAUCCUGGAAAAAC